rnacentral:sRNA from 12 species
UCGCCUAGGCUAGUAUUACCCUAGGCGAACAUAGGUAGCGUGUAGCA